rnacentral:rRNA from 1 species
UACAGAGGUCUCAAGCGUUGUUCGGAUUCAUUGGGCGUAAAGGGUGCGUAGGCGGCGCGGUAAGUCGGGGUGUGAAAUCUCGGAGCUUAACUCCGAAACUGCAUUCGAUACUGCCGUGCUUGAGGACUGGAGAGGAGACUGGAAUUUACGGUGUAGCGGUGAAAUGCGUAGAUAUCGUAAGGAACACCGGUGGGCGAAGGCGGGUCUCUGGGCCGAAAUUGACGCUGAGGAGCGAAAGCGUGGGGAGCGAACAGG